rnacentral:rRNA from 1 species
AUUGAACGCUGGCGGCAGGCCUAACACAUGCAAGUCGAGCGGUAGCACAGGGGAGCUUGCUCCCUGGGUGACGAGCGGCGGACGGGUGAGUAAUGUCUGGGAAACUGCCUGAUGGAGGGGGAUAACUACUGGAAACGGUAGCUAAUACCGCAUAACGUCGGAAGACCAAAGAGGGGGACCUUCGGGCCUGAGGCGAGCAGAUGUGCCCAGAUGGGAUUGCUAGUAGGUGGGGUAAUGGCUCACCUAGGGGACGAUCCCUAGCUGGUCUGAGAGGAUGACCAGCCACACUGGAACUGAGACACGGUCCAGACUCCUACGGGAGGCAGCAGUGGGGAAUAUUGCACAAUGGGCGCAAGCCUGAUGCAGCCAUGCCGCGUGUAUGAAGAAGGCCUUCGGGUUGUAAAGUACUUUCAGCGAGGAGGAAGGUGUUGAGGUUAAUAACCUCAGCAAUUGACGUUACUCGCAGAAGAAGCACCGGCUAACUCCGUGCCAGCAGCCGCAGUAAUAC